rnacentral:rRNA from 1 species
CCUACGGGUGGCAGCAGUGGGGAAUAUUGCGCAAUGGGCGAAAGCCUGACGCAGCAACGCCGCGUGGGGGAUGACGGCCUUCGGGUUGUAAACCCCUUUCAGCAGGGACGAAAAUGACGGUACCUGCAGAAGAAGCCCCGGCCAACUACGUGCCAGCAGCCGCGGUAACACGUGGGGGGCAAGCGUUGUCCGGAUUUAUUGGGCGUAAAGAGCUCGUAGGCGGUUGCGUAAGUCGGAUGUGAAAACUCAGGGCUCAACCCGGAGACGCCAUCCGAUACUGCCUGACUAGAGUCCGGUAGGGGAGCAUGGAAUUCCUGGUGUAGCGGUGAAAUGCGCAGAUAUCAGGAGGAACACCAGUGGCGAAGGCGGUGCUCUGGGCCGGUACUGACGCUGAGGAGCGAAAGCGUGGGUAGCGAACAGGAUUAGAUACCCUGG